AUGCGUGUUAGUGGCUCUGUAUGGACUGGCUCCUUGGUGGCCUGUGCUUUGUUGGACGCAGCCAAUGGGUGGACACUGGCGAAUAUCUCCGGGUCGGAUUCUGGGUGGCCAGGGAGCCAUAAGGGGUGGUCGGCGGGGGCUGGAUGUGUCCUGGUUCUACUGCACUGUGAGGUGGCAACAGGAUUCGCCCUGGUGCCCCCAAUAAAAUGCCUGUUACUUCACCCACUCGGUGGUCUUUCUGGUGGGGGUGACAGGGGCCGGCCGACUUCUCCCAACACUGGUGGUGUUGCCAAUGUGUCACCCGUGUCAGGGUGCAGAUCCUGAGUGUGAUGGCAGGAAGGGUGGGCGCUGAUGUUUGGGAAUACCUGCUGGAGGCGGCGGGAACGUGAGUCACAUAGGCUGGGGCUGGGUGAUCUCCAGAAAGUUACACAACCUCUCUGACCUUCUGUCUCUUCAUCUGUAAGUUGAGCAUAAUAAUACACACACACACACACAAACACACCUGUCAUGAGAAUUAAAUGAGUUAAUUCCUAUAAGUCCUUAGUACAAUACCAGACACAUAAUUAAUGAUUCAAAAACAUUGCCAUUUACCUAUUGUAGCAACCACUGCUAUGUGCUGUGAUGGGUAAUUUUGUGUCAACUUGACUGGGCACGGUGCCCAGAUAUUUAGUUAAAUGUGAUUCUGGAUGUUUCUGUGAAGGUGUUUUUUGGAUGAGAUUAACAUUUAAAUCAGUGGACUUUGAGUAAAGCAGAUUGCCCUCCAUCAUGUGGGUGGGCCUUCUCCAAUCAGUUGAAGGCCUUAACAGAACAAAGACUGACCUCCAUGAGCAAGAAGGAAUUCUGCAGGCAGACGGCCUUUGGCCCCCCUGCAGCUCCUCCCUGGGUCUCCGGCUGCUGGCCUACUCUGCGGAGUUUGGGUUUCCUGAGCCCCCAUCACGGUGUGAGCCGGUGCCUUACGAUGCCUCUCUCCCUCUCUGCCUGCUCUUGGUUCUGUUUCUCCCUGAACCCUGACUGAUGCCCCUGCCGGGGGCUUUGCAUACGUUUUCUCACUCCCGACAGCUUGUGAAGUCAGUGCUGCUGUGCUCCCAUUGUGCGGACGAGGAAACAGGUACAGAGAGGUGAGGGGACUUGCCCAGGGUGCGGUGUGUCUGGGAUGUAAACCCAGGUCUCUCCAAUUCCCAAAACCCAUUCUGUCCUCCACCUGGAUGUCCACACUCGGUGCUGAACCGCCUGGGAAAGAUCCGCUCAGCUGGCCAAGGGAUGAGGUGGAGGGGCCACUGUGGCCAGUUGGCUGGAGCCCAGAAUCCGUGGGUCCAAGCCGCCA
rnacentral:lncRNA from 1 species